AACCAUAGAAACCUGCGGAGUACCUGCGGAGGGAUCAUUGCAGAAACAAAUAUAUACCCAAGGGGGAAGAGUUAGCGCUCUUUUUCCUGGGCAAACAACCAACACACAUGACUAGGAAAAGCAAACAGAGAUUGUGGAGGAAUUGGCUUGGUCGGCUUGGCUUGGCUUGGGUCCUCGCACAGCACACAAGAAGCUCUUGUCUGAUAAGUAGCUUGCUGAUUUGGAGUUACUACAAUACAA
rnacentral:misc_RNA from 1 species